rnacentral:rRNA from 1 species
ACUCCUACGGGAGGCAGCAGUGGGGAAUAUUGCACAAUGGGGGAAACCCUGAUGCAGCCAUGCCGCGUGUGUGAAGAAGGCCUUGGGUUGUAAAGACACUUUCUAGUAGGGAGGAAGGUAGUGUAGUUAACACCUGCAUUAUUUGUACGUUACCUACAGAAGAAGCACCGGCUAACUCCGUGCCAGCAGCCGCGGUAAGUACGGAGGGUGCGAGCGUUAAUCGGAAUUACUGGGCGUAAAGCGCAUGCAGGCGGCCUGUUAAGUCAGAUGUGAAAGCCCGGGGCUUAACCUCGGAAUUGCAUUUGAAACUGGCAGGCUAGAGUCUUGUAGAGGGGUUAGAAUUUCAGGUGUAGCGGUGAAAUGCGUAGAGAUCUGAAGG